rnacentral:lncRNA from 1 species
CAUAAAUGCGUUAAUUCACUGCUGUAUUUGUAGAGCAAUAUGGGAGGUUAGAAUGGAUCAUCAUAGGCUCAGGGUCGAAGGGAGAGGAAAAGAAGGAAUUCAGUCUUUUAACCUGCAAGAAAACUCACUCAUGCAGACAGAAGUCCAACAGCAAACAGCACACCAGGGUUGCGACUGAAAUGAAGAGCAGUUGAUCAUUAUUCACCCUGUAUGAAAAUGAUACGACCUAAAAGUUUAACUGAGUAGUACAGUAUUUUGUUUUCUAAAGCCGGAGGUGGGUUGCUGGAAAACAAUGCGGUGUUUGCUGCAGGCUGAGAGGAGGACUGCGAUGUACUACCACCACAGCUCUAACAGGGCACAGAAGAGGACCUCAGUAGAAGACUACAGGUUUCUCCAUGGAGCAGCACAGAGGGUGAACAAAGGCAGGUGUCAUGUUACCCAGGUAGCUCCUGGCCAAUAGUGGUGACACCCCAAAUAAAAAAAAAAAGAGUAGGAAGCAUAGAUCAACAGACCUGGCCACCCCUCUCUUAACAGACCAAGAAAAGCUGUUCAAUACACAAGAAAAUAACACACACACUGUUUCCACGGUAUCUCACGGCAGACAUAACUUCCUAAGCCCACCCACAUCUGCACAGGAACAAAAUUGGAGCUGAAGAAGCAAAAGACUCCAACACUUCCCAAGACAUUUCCAGCUCAAAGAAAACAGAUACUCACAGUGUAGCUGUUCACAGAAAAGGAAGAAUAGAAAUGAAUGUUAUUAACCUCUGUAGAACACAGUAUGUCUCAGCUUUCACACUGGUAGUUCCUCCUGGGAAACUCAGCUGGCCUUUCAGAAACCCACCAGGUCUUCUGACAAACCCAUGUGCAGGCCAGAUGUUAUCUGUCUCUUGAUGCUACAAUAUAAAACUAUAUUUUCCUUAUAGACUAAGAUCACCUAUCAUGACAAUACCUUUUCACGAAGAAAAAUUAAUUAUUAAGUAUAACUGCUUUAUCUCUGGCUUCAUAGGCAUACUGUGUCUUUCAGGCUAACAGUAUUCAUAGGCAUACUGUGUCUUUCAGGUUAACUUCUCACAAGAGGAGAGUAAUCCUAUUAUUAGAUAAUUUUCUAUUCCCGUUAAUUGCAUAAUCACAGGUCCAUACCGAUAGAAACUAAGGAAUGUUUUGUGGGAUGCUGAUUCAAAAAUGUCAACAGUUAAUCAAAGCUACCUGUUACUAUAAUUGUAUUGAUUUUCUUUUCAACCUCAGAGACAAAGCUUCUCAAAUCACUUGGACAUCUGGUAAAGUUAUCGUUGACAUUCUCGGAUUAUAGGAAUAUAUAUUUCGCACGGCUAGAAAAGUCUUAAUUGGGAUGACUGGGAUAAAGUUGUGCUUAUUUAGUCUUCAGCUUAUUUGGUCUACUUUUCCUUGCUUGCCCAACUCAGCUGGUAUUAGCAAGAGAACAAAGAGACCUACAGACCAUUUCAAUGAUACUGGGCAUCCUGAGCAAUUUGAAAUGCAUUUUUGUUAAGUCGCCUUGCUCCUCAAGUGUCUGAAUAUCUUUUGCAGGGUUUUUUGUUCUUUUUACCUUGAUAAGGACCAUACUGUGACAAAAUUAUGGCACGCAGUAAUCAAAGCAAAACUACAGCUCACUUUCUUAAUAAUACCGGCAAGAAAAGAAAUACGAUAAGCUAUGUUUAGUGCA